CAAAAUACAUGGAACAUUGUAAGAGCUCAACAAAUUGCUAGUAGGAGACAAGAGAGUGUGUAUCUGAAAGAGAAGAAACAAGGUGUCCCUUCUGUGAGGGCACUCACUCUCCAAAGAAAAACACUGUAUUACAAGGUGCUCUCUGGAUUGGAAAGAGGAAACACCCAGUCUCAAGGCUUUUAUCCAAGAAGAGCAGGAACCUUUCAUCUUGUCUGGAGCCCAAAGGAUCUAAGGAUGGAGUGAAGACAGACAAGAGUCUGGCAAAGUCUCGACUGGGUGCGCUUAUUCAAAGCAUGUCUGGGAUGAAGUCUCUCCAGUACUGGAUUUGCCAGACCACUCCAGCCUAGGGCAGGGCAAGCAGGAUUUCAGAACGGUUGCCUGUUUAUUCUACCAUGUUGUGUUCAGGGAGUGACCAGCCAACUGGUCUAUUUGCCCAAAGAGAUUCAACCCAACCACAGCCACCCUCCUCCAGGCGCUUUGGCUGCUCCCUUAAGAACCUCCCUUCCUUGCCUGCUGGGUGGAACUGGUCCUGACUGCUUUUAUUUUUCCAAACUCCUCUGUGCAUAAACAGGAUGUUUGGAAAAGCUCAAGAUGGCCAGGGGUCUGCUGAGUUGGCCCUUGAUUCUCACUUGGAGGGCAGUGUUGGGCAACAUCAGUGGAAUUGCUUCUGCCUGGAUGUUGCCCAGAAUAGCUAAAUCCUCUCCUCCCCCCAACCUUCUCACUCCCUCUCUUUUUCUCUCCCUUAGAGAACUUGGCUACAGGGAGUUCACACUGGUAGAAAUGAGGUAGAAGAGUUGCCUUCACUUUCUAAGGGUGUUUCCUAUGAGGGUAUUAAGAAAUAUCCCUGCUCCCAAAGGGUGCAAGGAAGAAAAGUGAAGCCAGUAGGUAGGAAACUUACUCCCUUUACAGAGCUCUUCUCAAGACCCUAAGGGCUAGGGCAGGACCCUAAAGAAAAA